GGCAGUUUUCCCGAGCGGCAAAGGGGGCCGGCUGUAAACCGGCUGCCGAAAGGCUUCGCAGGUUCGAGUCCUGCAACUGCCA
rnacentral:tRNA from 1 species